rnacentral:lncRNA from 1 species
CCUCUGCUUAUUCUACUACAUCCCAGAAAUAUUGCUUGUGCAUAGUCUUCAACUUAUUCUUUAGCGUCUUAACGUUUGCCAUAUAAUAUGACCUAACCACUUGCCACAUAGUGUGACCCUUCAUAGGCCUACUCCAAAUCUCCCUUACCUUAUCCAUGAAACUAGGAUGUGUGGCCUAGACAUUACAAUGGCACUUCUCUUUUACAGCUUCCACCUUCUAGUAAUUCCACCUUGACCGAGUAAUAAUCACUAGCCCCCUCUAGUAGAAAAUUUGCUAAUAUAAUUGGGCAUAUAAGUCAUCCAAUCAUGAUUCGCUAGUACCCAAUCUAUUCUUGAAAACACUCUAGUUGCAUUAUGCUUGUCAUUUCAAGUGUAUCUACACUCCUUAACAGGUAGUACCAUCAGCUCACACAAUUUUGAAAAUCCAGAACUUCAGGCACAAUAACUGGACUUCCACCAUAUCUAUCAUUCAUAUUUAACACAUUGUUAAAAGUCCUCCAUUGAUAGCCAUAGAUCAGAGCAUCCUUGUUUUACUCUUUCCAGAUAACUCCAAAGACUUUUUCUCUCUACUUUGUUACUCCCUCCAUUUCAUAAUAAAUGA